rfam:Azospirillum brasilense Sp245 plasmid AZOBR_p1 complete genome
UCCGCCAGCCCAUUCUCGGGGCGUUUCCUCCCUAGACUCAAGGCCGGAGCGAUUGCUCCGGCCUUUUUUUCGUCCGCG